GCGUUGAAACACCUGUUCACGUACGAGCACUGAAAUUAAGCAACGUCGAGCUUAGUCAGUACAUAGAUGGGUGAUCAUCUGGGAUAGAGCAGGAGCUGUAA